UGCUAUUGGGAAGAGUGGAUUUAUAUUAUAUUACAUUAUAUUAUACUAUAACUUAUUAUAUACAUACAUACAUACAUAAAUACAUACAUAUAUACAUUAUAUCCUUCCAGAAAAAAGUAGCCCAUUGCACCUCCACCAAUCACUCCCGCAUGCAACCCAAUUUAUCAAGUCCUCUCAGCCCGUUCACAAACGAACUAUGCAUAUGGAAACACAUACAGCCAUGAAUAGAAUACAACUCCCACGCAGAGAUAUUAGUCAGGACGGACUGCCCAGAGGUGAAUGGAAAAUGAAAAGCGCAGAAGCGAUAAUGAAAUAAGAGUCAAUACUAACAUAUAUCCACCCAUCAGAAGAGAAGGUGUUGGUAGAAGAAGAGGAAGAAGUCGAACAAAGAAAUAUUAGAGAGUAGAAAAUUAGAUAUAAUAUACGUAUAUAUGAUGGAUACACACAGGCGUAUAUCUAGAUGUGUGUAUGUAUGUUGCUUGGGGAAGGAAAAUAUAGGACAGAUUAUAUAUAUGAACCAUAGGGAUGCCAAACAAGGGUGUCCUUGAUGGGAACGACAAUGAGAGGUAACGGGAACAAGUAACCCCUUUUGGGCAGUGGGGGAAACAAGCAAAAAGAAAAAAGUAGAGCAAAAAAUCCACCACCUUUGGCUAAAGAUGGAGGGGGAAACAUAUGAAAUAAAAAGAGAAGAACGGUAUAACCUAAACUUCCUACCUUAAUCCACUCACAAGACAAAACUACAGACGAGAGAGGGAGGACGAGAGGGGGAG
rnacentral:sRNA from 1 species